GACGAACGCUGGCGGCGUGCCUAAUACAUGCAAGUAGAACGCUGAAGGAGUAGCUUGCUUCUCUGGAUGAGUUGCGAACGUGUGAGUCACGUGUAGGUAACCUCCUUGGUAGCGGGGUAUAACUAUUGGAAACGAUAGCUAAUACCACAUAAUAGCAGUUAUUGCAUGAUAACUUUUUGAUAUGUGCAAUUCCACUACUACCAUAUGGACCUGCGUUGUAUUAGCUAGGUUGUGGUGUAACGGCUCCCCAAGGCGGCGAUACAUAGCCGACCUGGGAGGGUGAAAGGCCACUAGGGGACUGAGAGACGGCCCAGAGUCCGACGGGAGGAAGAAGUAGGGAAUCGUCGGAAAUGGACGGAAGAAUGAACGAGCAACGCAGCGAGAGUGAAGAAGGGUUUCGGAGCGGAAAGCUCUGUUGUAAGAGAAGAACGAGUGUGAGAGGGGAAAGUUCACGCUGUGACGGUAUCUUACCAGAAAGGAACGGCUAACUACGUG
rnacentral:rRNA from 1 species